UAAUUGAAGAGUUUGAUCAUGGCUCAGAUUGAACGCUGGCGGCAGGCCUAACACAUGCAAGUCGAACGGUAACAGGGAGCAGCUUGCUGCUCUGCUGACGAGUGGCGGACGGGUGAUUAAUGUCUGGGAAACUGCCUGAUGGAGGUGUAUAACUACUGGAAACGGUAGCUAAUACCGCAUAACGUCUUC
rnacentral:rRNA from 1 species